CCCACCUUGAAGGGAAGUGGUCAUUGUGGCCCGUCGGGGGACUCAGGCGUCAUGGGAGACCCACGCCCAGAAGAAGGUGGUUCGGUGGCGGGAGGCGAGGUGCCCGUUCGUCUGCCCGAGCGCGCUGCAGAUACGGAAAUUAGAGUCCAAAGCCGCGGAGUACCUUGCACAAGAUAUCCUUUAUCCAACAAAGGAGGAAGCUUUCCUCAUAUUCCUUUUCACCAAGAAUUUUUAUCACAAGUGGAUGUUGAAGAUUAUUAAACAGCCUUUCUGCACCUACUAUGUUGAUCAUAUGGUUUUCUUCCUUCAUUCUAUUAAAGUAAUGAAGUAUGUGGGUUUUUUAAUGGUAAACUGAACUUACAUUAUUAGAAUAAACACUACUCAUUUUGUAUAUAUUUUUGGUGCUUGCUGAUAUUUUGUUUAUAAUUUUAAUACCUAUGUUCAUGAAUGAGAUUGGCCUGGAAUUUUCCUUUCUCAUAAUAUUUUCAUGAGGUGUAGAUAUAUGGUUAGGAAUGUCUCAUUUGAGGUGAGGAGUGUUCCUCUUUUUUUUUUUAAAUUAAAUUAAUGCAUAACAUUGAUGUUAUUUGUUUCCUAAUAGCUAAUUCAACUCACUUGUAGAGCCAUAUGACCCUGUGGUUUUCUUUGUGGAAAAGUUUUUAAUAAAUGACUUAAUCUUAAAUAGUUUAAGAGGACUAAUCUGAAUUCUUAUUUCUCCUAGUGUCCAUUUUGACUAGUAGUAUUUUCUAGAAAAUGUAUCUCACUGAAAAUGUUAAAUGUUUCAGCAGAAAAUUGUUCAUAUUUUUCUGUUAAUGUAUUAAUACCUAAAAGAUUUAUUGUAUUGCCCUUAUACCUAACAUUAGAUAUUUAUGCCAUCUUUUUCUUGAUUAUAUUCACCCAAAUUUAUCAAUUUUAAAGUUUUUCAAGAAUGACCCUAUUGUCUGUCUGUGAUUUAUCUUGUUUAUUUCUAUUCUUAUGUGUUCUACUUUUGGUGCUGUUCUUUUUUUUUUCUUUCUCUGAAUUUUUGACAUGGAUGCUGAUAGCUCAUUAAUAUUUAGUUCUUUGUAUUUUAUAAUGUUUAUGUUUAAAGACAUAUAUUUCCUUUCAAGUUUGAUCUUAGCUAUAUCUCUCAAGCUUUAUUUAAUAAGUUGUAUUUGCAUUAUUACUCAAUUCAAACUACUUUAUAUUUUCCAUUGAAAUAUAGAUGUUUGUCUUUAUCUUUUGUUCUUUUUUUAAAUAUGUUUUAAUUACCUUGUUGUCACAGAAUAUACUCUGUGUGAUUUCAGUCUUUGAAAUUUGUUGAAACUAGCUUUAUUGCCCAGCAUAUGGUCAAUAUUUAUAUUAUAUGUUGUCGCAACCACCAACUGACAGUGACCACGGAACGCUGCAGAUGGCUCGUUGAAACAUGAGAAAAACAUACACAGAGACAACCAGGUCCUGUGGGGAAAUAGGGACGGAUCAGCCACUCUCUCUAGUGGGGAUCUCCAUGGCCAACCUCCCGAGGGGAGAGGGCCUCAUUCCCCACCCAAGCAGGCUUUUAUUGGGUUCAUUUACAUAAGAAUUCAGGUAAAGC